UACGUAGGGUGCAAGCGUUAAUCGGAAUUACUGGGCGUAAAGCGUGCGCAGGCGGUGAUGUAAGACAGGUGUGAAAUCCCCGGGCUUAACCUGGGAACUGCAUUUGUGACUGCAUCGCUGGAGUGCGGCAGAGGGGGGGUGGAAUUCCACGUGUAGCAGUGAAAUGCGUAGAGAUGUGGAGGAACACCGAUGGCGAAGGCAGCCCCCUGGGCCAAUACUGACGCUCAUGCACGAAAGCGUGGGGAGCAAACAGG
rnacentral:rRNA from 1 species